GAGGAUCUCAUGUAUCCGAGUGGAAACACUUACAUUAAUUGUAAUACAACAUCAGUUGAAAUUGGGACACAGACACAAAGAGAAAACAAUGUCAUGUGAAGACAGAGGCAAAGAGUGGAGUGACAGAUGUACAAGCGAAGAACCUCAAGAGCGCCGGCAGUUACCAGAAGCUUAGAGUUAGGGAAGGAUCAUCAUCUGAAGCAAGUCCUGGCCUGUCAACAUGUUGAUUUCAGACUACUAGACUCCAGAAAAGUAAGAUAAAAAAUCUUUAAUAUUUGAAGGUGCCCAAUUUGUGGUAAUUUGUUCCUGCAGCCUGAGCAAACUAACAAGCUCACUUUCAGUUCAAUUUCAUGGAAGAAUAGAACAAUCUUUUGGUCCCAUAACACAACUCCUCAGUGGAGAACUCUGAGUGAUUUUAAAAAGACAUACCAAAUAUUGUCCCUUUUAUGCUCAAAAUGAUCCAGUAUUUCUAUGUCAUUCUUAAAAUAAAAACUAAUAUAAUGUCUACAGGCUUAUAUUUGAUCUGGU
rnacentral:lncRNA from 1 species